rnacentral:rRNA from 1 species
UGCAAGUCGGACGGCAGCAGGUCCUUCGGGAUGCUGGCGAGUGGCGGACGGGUGAGUAAUGCGUAGGAACCUAUCCUUUUGUGGGGGACAACCCAGGGAAACUUGGGCUAAUACCGCAUAAGCCCUGAGGGGGAAAGCGGGGGAUCUUCGGACCUCGUGCUGAAGGAGGGGCCUACGUCCGAUUAGCUAGUUGGUGGGGUAAAGGCCUACCAAGGCGACGAUCGGUAGCUGGUCUGAGAGGACGACCAGCCACACUGGGACUGAGACACGGCCCAGACUCCUACGGGAGGCAGCAGUGGGGAAUUUUUCGCAAUGGGGGCAACCCUGACGAAGCAAUGCCGCGUGGAUGAAGAAGGCCUUCGGGUUGUAAAGUCCUUUCGUGGGGGACGAAAAGGCGGAUCCGAAUACGGUCUGCUGUUGACGUGAACCCAAGAAGAAGCACCGGCUAACUCCGUGCCAGCAGCCGCGGUAAUACGGAGGGUGCGAGCGUUAAUCGGAAUUACUGGGCGUAAAGGGCGCGUAGGCGGUGGGUUACGUCUGCCGUGAAAUCCCCGGGCUUAACCUGGGAAUGGCGGUGGAAACGGGCUGACUGGAGUAUGGGAGAGGGUGAUGGAAUUCCAGGUGUAGCGGUGAAAUGCGUA